ACUAUGUUUCCCAGGCUGGACUCUAACUCCUGGGCUCAAGUGGUCCUCCCACCUCAGCCUCCUGAGUAGCUGGGACUGUAGAUGCAUGCCGCCAUGACCUGCCAAAAUCAUAUUUUUGAAGGUUAUUUCCUUCCAAUCCCAUCCCAAAUGGAGGUUGCAGCAGGGUAGAGUUUUUGGACAAUCUUGUUUACUGCUGCAUCCCCAGUGUCAAGAAGGCUGCCUGAACAUAGAAAGUCUUCAAUAUAUAUUUGCUGAAAUAAAAGUAAAAAUUCAGUCUGGUGUCUCCAUAAUCACAGCCAUGGCCUUGUAAACAGGUAGUGAUGCGGACAGAGCCAUCUGUGCUGCGCUGCAGACCCACACAGAGGUCUACUGGAAGGGAGGAGCCCGAGGCGAGUCCACUGAAUGUGGGCACUUCCCAGUGGACAUUCAGCAAGCUCUCGAGGCUCUGCCAGGGUACUCUCCCAGGAAACAUCAACAACACCUAAGAGUGUGGAGUAUGUUACAGAUAGAGCUACAGGACCUCAUGUUCCCUGCUGGUGGAUGAGAAGAGUGACCUGCAACCCUUCUAACCUGUUUCUGCCAUGGAAGAUGUACCUGCUUUCCCAUUGCCUUCUGCCAUGACUAUUUGAGCUCUGGGCAAAGAUUAAUAUGCUCAACAUUUAUAGAUAGAGUCCAGGCUCCUGCUGGAGGGUUAUUUCUCAAGUUCUGGCAUCUCUGUUGACUUAAGGACCAGUCAACAUGAGAAAAUGGAGCCCACUAAUUUUGUAACAUAUUGUAAUAUCUCUGGAAAAACACAACUGGUUUACGAAAGAGACCAUGUGAUUUAUUUGAAAAUGAAGCAGAAGCCUUUACAAUGUUUUACUGAAACUGCCAUGGGGACCAGAAGUGAAUGGAUCGGAGGUCCAACAAAAUUCACUAUUGAGGCUUACACAAAUAACCACAGCUGAAGAUGCAAUUGUCCCAGCCUAUUCUGUAUAUUCAUAUUCAUCUUGUAUGUUUAUGAUAUUAUUUAAGCUGUGAUAUUUAGGUUAAUAUUUUCUUUAGUACUAUUAUGUUUAAUAAGUCAACUCUAAACUAUAAUUUCUACUUUCAUGAUUUAGCAAUUUGACAUUAGCAAUAGUAAUGAUAAACUGCGGUAGAAACAACAAAAAUUCAAAAAUAAAAAAUGUAAGUAAGAAGGAC
rnacentral:lncRNA from 10 species